UACGAAGGUCCCAAGCGUUAUCCGGAUUUAUUGGGUUUAAAGGGUGCGUAGGCGGGUUAUUAAGUCAGUGGUGAAAGCCUACAGCUUAACUGUAGAAUUGCCAUUGAUACUGAUAAUCUUGAGUAUGAUUGAGGUGGGCGGAAUGUGUCAUGUAGCGGUGAAAUGCUUAGAUAUGACACAGAACACCGAUUGCGAAGGCAGCUCACUAAGUCAUAACUGACGCUGAUGCACGAAAGCGUGGGGAGCAAACAGG
rnacentral:rRNA from 1 species